UCGCACCUACCGAUUGAACGUUCCGGUGAGACCUUGGGAUUUGGAAUUUGUUUGUUGAUUCAGACGUUUUUCGAAAAACUUGAGCAAACCUUAACGUUUAGAGGAAGGUG
rnacentral:rRNA from 1 species